UGACUGAUAACUAGUAGCUGCAGGGAGU
rnacentral:sRNA from 1 species